AGCCGGGCCCCGCGCAACGGCGCGCCGUGAACUCCGCCAGGUCCGGAAGGAAGCAACGGCAGCGGCUCCCGCUGUGUGCCGCGGGUCAGCCCGGCUAUC
rfam:Geobacteraceae bacterium GWC2_55_20 gwc2_scaffold_4953, whole genome shotgun sequence.